rnacentral:rRNA from 1 species
AUUGAACGCUGGCGGCAGGCCUAACACAUGCAAGUCGAGCGGGGUUUUCGGACCUAGCGGCGGACGGGUGAGUAAUGCGUAGGAAGCUGCCCGAUAGAGGGGGAUACCAGUUGGAAACGACUGUUAAUACCGCAUAAUGUCUACGGACCAAAGUGUGGGACCUUCGGGCCACAUGCUAUCGGAUGCGCCCACGUGGGAUUAGCUAGUUGGUGAGGUAAUGGCUCACCAAGGCGACGAUCUCUAGCUGGUUUGAGAGGAUGAUCAGCCACACUGGAACUGAGACACGGUCCAGACUCCUACGGGAGGCAGCAGUGGGGAAUAUUGGACAAUGGGCGCAAGCCUGAUCCAGCCAUGCCGCGUGUGAAGAAGGCCUUCGGGUUGUAAAGCACUUUCAGCGAGGAGGAAGGGUGGUGUGUUAAUAGCACAUCAUUUUGACGUUACUCGCAGAAGAAGCACCGGCUAACUCUGUGCCAGCAGCCGCCGUAACAC